rnacentral:lncRNA from 1 species
CUGUUUAUUAAGUGACGCAUUUUUUCAGUUUUAGAUUUCGAACUGAUAGCGGCUCUGACAUUGUGGAUCUCUUUGUGUAUGGAAGUGUUCCAGAUUCCCAGGUUCAGUGAACUCGUCAUUGGCGUUCAGUCCCCGGUAGCUGAUUUGCGGAGAGACGCUCGGGCGCGGUGACAGCUGUUGGACAGGUAGCCUAACGAUGCUAGCGUUAGCUUUAGCCAAGCUAGCAACUGCAUCAAGUAGCUCCGAGACAAAGUUAAUUUCGAUUUGAAAUGGGAGAAAGUAAAGCAGCCGCCGCUCGUGGUAACACCCGGAUGAAACACUUCAAGCCUCGGGUUAUCUGUGUUGUUCCUUCCAACUAUUAGCUUAUUAGAUGUUGUUCAGCAAACAUUUCAGUAAUCACACCUGUAAGCUUAACCAGCACUUACGUGCUCAAACUUAAAAUGCCCUGAUUUACGCAUAUUAGCUUUAAUCUCCAAGGUCUCUGAAGUGUUCGUGCCGUGUUAAACUGUGAAAACUGCUGUUCGUAGCCCGAGGAUUCGUGUCUCGUGCUUCUUCCUCGGGUAUGGACUGAACGAGCUCCACGUGCUCCGUCUUAAUGGGAGUCGGUUCACAGCUGCAGGCGCCGUCUGCAGAGACCGUGUCAAAGACUCCGCGUCUCCUACAGGUGCGAGCCCAGAACAUCUGGCUGGCACAUUUCAAACGCUCCGAGAAGCAGGAGGGGUGGAGGGAGGCCACAGCGGAGGGCCGAACCACAGUCAUUAAACUGGGAGGACUGGGGGGGCGGGGCGGGGACUACACCGCGCCAUGCACCUGCUCCACGCACGUCUGUCUGGCCGCAAACCAGUAUUCCUCCACUAUGUGUUCAUCGCAGCACAGUGGCCACCCAUCGAAAACAACAACAAGGCUGAAAAGUCAGACAUCUGGAGCCGAUCGAGACCACAGUGGUUCAUCAGCCAUGGAAGGGGAAUACCAGCCUACAGAUUUAGAUGUGUUUUUUCAGGGCAUGGGCCAAUGAGUAGUGAUGACGCAACACUUUUAAAGCUAGAAAUCGUCUCAAGUCUGACGCUGUGUGAACCGAUCCUUUGACCCGAUUUAAGAACACAAUGUAUUGUGUCUGUGUUCAAAACACCCCCACAAACAAAGGGGAAUUGUUAAUUUUUCCCAAUUUCCACAGAUUGAAAAUUGGUGAGAGCUGUUAUUUACAGACUUGGACCUCUUAAUUUUUUCCUGCUGAAUUAUUUGUAAGUUCUUAAAGAAAUAAAAAUUGACAGGUGAGGUGUGAAAAUAGGCA